GUGAGGAAUAUUGGUCAAUGGAGGCAACUCUGAACCAGCCAUGCCGCGUGCAGGAAGACGGUCCUAUGGAUUGUAAACUGCUUUUAUUUAGGAAUAAACCCCCGGUCGUGCACCGGGGCUGAAUGUACUAAAAGAAUAAGCACCGGCUAACUCCGUGCCAGCAGCCGCGGUAAUACGGAGGGUGCAAGCGUUAUCCGGAAUCAUUGGGUUUAAAGGGUCCGCAGGCGGGUAAAUAAGUCAGAGGUGAAAUCCGGCAGCUCAACUGUCGCACUGCCUUUGAUACUGUUUAUCUUGAAUUUUAGUGGAGUGGGCGGAAUAUGUCAUGUAGCGGUGAAAUGCUUAGAUAUGACGUGGAACACCGAUAGCGAAGGCAGCUCACUAACUAUGAAUUGACGCUCAUGGACGAAAGCGUGGGUAGCAAACAGGAUUAGAUACCCCGGUAGUCC
rnacentral:rRNA from 1 species